GGGUCUUGGGAUAUUUGGGGUUAAGCGUCCUUGGGUUUGAAUAGUACUGGGCUGGGUGACCUCCCGGGAAGUCCAAACUCAAGAGUUU
rnacentral:rRNA from 1 species